GAUGAAGAAUGUAGCGAAAUGCGAUAAGUAAUGUGAAUUGCAGAAUUCAGUGAAUCAUCGAAUCUUUGAACGCACAUUGCGCCCGCCAGUAUUCUGGCGGGCAUGCCUGUUCGAGCGUCAUUUCAACCCUCAAGCCCCCGGGCUUGGUGUUGGGGAUCGGCGUGCCCUCGCGGCGCGCCGUCCCCUAAAUCUAGUGGCGGUCUCGCUGUAGCUUCCUCUGCGUAGUAGCAACACUCGCACUGGAUCGCAGCGCGGCCACGCCGUUAAACCCCCCACUUCUGAAAGUUUGACCUCGGAUCAGGUAGGAAUACCCGCUGAACUUAAGCAUAUCAAUAAGCGGAGGA
rnacentral:misc_RNA from 1 species